rnacentral:ncRNA from 1 species
GGGCAGGAUGUGUGAAGUAGGCCCACCACAAGCGGUGGUUCCUCCUUCACUGGUCCUCUUUCGCGCCGAGGGCGCUCAACGGACAUCCUGCCCUGCGGGGCU